AAAAAGGGUGUCACAGAACUCACCUAUCAACAUUCAACCAUGAAAACAGAGAAGAACCAACGCCAAUACUCCCUUUUAGAAUAAUCUAUAGUGGAGAAGGGACAAGAAUUCGGCAACACAGAGAAGAAGGAGGAGAAAGGAGAUUCGACAGAGGGGACUAAAGAAGUAUUCGGUGAAAACAAAACAAGAGAAAAAAAAGAAUAAAAGGGAAAAGCAGGAAAAUAAAAGAGCAAACCCGAGAGGUACCCGAAGUCUUUAGCAAAAUUUGACAUAAGCAAAAUAUGAAAGAAAAACUGACCAAAGUCGAAGCAAUAGGAGAGAAAAACAACUCCAAAACCGAUUCCCUCAAUGCCUAAAGACCAUAUUCGACACAAGCAUACCCCCAUACGACACAACUCCCC
rnacentral:lncRNA from 1 species